rnacentral:misc_RNA from 1 species
CUCCUGUGAGCUUAUUUAUGAAAAUAGCGAUGUUAGUGACUAAUCAGCUGAGAAAGAAAACAGAGGCGCACAGCUGACACCCGCCAUUGAUGCUCCACGCCGCACGCUGUCAUGACCAGUGCCCUGGAUGAUGAAGGACUGCUAACUCGAAUGGGGAGACGAAUGGCUGAGUUUCCUCUUGAGCCCAAUCUUGCCAAAAUGUUGAUCAUGUCAGUUCACUUACAGUGCUCAAAUGAGAUCCUUACCAUCGUCUCUAUGCUGUCUGUACAAAAUGUAUUCUACAGAUGCUUCGAACGAAGGGUGAGGGGGCUUCUCUCCUUCAGGACUCUGUAAGUGGCCUCUGGGACAGCCAAGAGAAGUCUCUCCAUAUCAACAUCCUGGAACUCAGGGCAAUUUGCCUGGGGCUCCAACACUUUGUGGAUGUGCUGUGGAAUUCUGUUGGUUUCCUUUGACACCACCACGGCACUUGCGUAAGAAAGUUGUCUCCAGUUGUUAGUUAAGAAAUUGUUUUUAUGGGGCUAUAAAAAAAAAAAAAAAAAAAAAAAAAAAAAAAGUCCAUAAGGUAAAAAUUAUGGUAAUAAAACACCACAAAAAAGAUGAGAAUCUGUUCAAGGAUAACUAAGAAAUCUACUGCAGAUCUACAAUGAAUAUCCCUUAAAUAAGUUGUCGCUACUAUUCACUGUAAUCUGGCAUUAGCCAGAUUAACAGUUUAACAGGAGGUUGUAUGGUUAUACAAACAUACUACCACAUCAAAGUCAGAAUAGGUUGACAUGCAUGUUGUAAUUAAACUAAAUGAUAUUCUGAACACAUUACAGGUGGAUUUCAUCCAAGUUAUUCAAUGGCAAUACAGUUAUAAUAGUUUAAAGAAAACCAUGUUAUAAUUCCUUACUUUUUUAUAAGAUUUGAUAAGGAAAACAAGCAAUUUUACUUACUGGCACACACUGCUUAAAAUUCACCACAAUAUCAAGACAACAUGUACUGGCUGUACACUAUCAUCAACUAGUAUUAAUAUACUCUUACACACCACUCAUUCACAUAUCAGAAGAUAGCCCAAUUUGUGUUGAUAUACAUGGGACUCCUAACAUACCAGUACCACAGCUACAGAAACUAGUCCAACUUGUGUUGAUAUACUCAGACAUGGGACACUCAACAUACCAGUACCACAGCUACAGAAACUAGCCUAACUUGUGUGGAAUGGGACCCUUAGACAUACCAGUACAGUUACAGAAUAUAGCCAAACUUGUGGAAAAGUUUGGGAAUGAAAGGGAAGCUGCAGCAUGUUCAUUACACAUAACACAUUACCAACAGAUACCUUACUGAAAGACUGUUUAGCACCUACUCAUGUAAUGCUCCAGUCUUAGCAACCCUUGACAAUUAUAUCAAACAAACAUUGGAAAUGUUACAUUAUAUAUUUUGUUAAAGUACUUUUUCAUCUUUCACUCAGCCACUACUAGUCUUGUUUGUCAUAUGUUUAUGUGAUGUUAAAGAUGAUGAGAAUGUCUAUGGUUAUUUGAAUGUCACUGACAGACAUCAGAGGAAUGCGUGACUGUAAUACGUGUUCUCUCUCAUGUUAUGUCCCAACUCCAUCAUGUGAACUGAU